GAUGAACGCUGGCGGCGUGCCUAAUACAUGCAAGUCGAGCGAACAGACGAGGAGCUUGCUCCUCUGACGUUAGCGGCGGACGGGUGAGUAACACGUGGAUAACCUACCUAUAAGACUGGGAUAACUUCGGGAAACCGGAGCUAAUACCGGAUAAUAUAUUGAACCGCAUGGUUCAAUAGUGAAAGACGGUUUUGCUGUCACUUAUAGAUGGCUUCGCGCCGCAUUAGCUAGUUGGUAAGGUAACGGCUUACCAAGGCAACGAUGCGUAGCCGACCUGAGAGGGUGAUCGACCACACUGGAGCUGAGACACGGUCCAGGCUCCUGCGGGAGGCAGCAGUAGGGAAUCGUCCGCAGUGGGCGAGAGCCUGGCGGAGCAACGCCGCGUGAGUGAUGAAGGUCUUCGGAUCGUAAAACUCUGUUAUUAGGGAAGAACAAAUGUGUAAGUAACUAUGCACGUCUUGACGGUACCUAAUCAGAAAGCCACGGCUAACUACGUG
rnacentral:rRNA from 1 species